AAGUCGUAACAAGGUCUCCGUUGGUGAACCAGCGGAGGGAUCAUUACCGAGUUUACAACUCCCAAACCCCACUGUGAACAUACCCAUUCUGUUGCCUCGGCGGGGUGGCCACCCGCCGGAGGACCCCAAACCCUUCUGUUUCUCACAGCGGUUGUCUUCUGAGUGGCCCCGUAGCGGGCGAUAACAAACAAAAAUGAAUCAAAACUUUCAACAACGGAUCUCUUGGUUCUG
rnacentral:misc_RNA from 1 species